GACGAACCGUGCGAACGUUGUUCGGAAUCACUGGGCUUAAAGGGCGCGUAGGCGGGCGAGCAAGUCCGGGGUGAAAGCCUCCGGCUUAACCGGAGAAGGGCCUUGGAUACUGCUCGUCUUGAGGGAGGUAGGGGCUUGUGGAACUUCCGGUGGAGCGGUGAAAUGCGUUGAUAUCGGAAGGAACGCCGGUGGCGAAAGCGACAAGCUGGCCCUCUUCUGACGCUGAGGCGCGAAAGCUAGGGGAGCAAACGGG
rnacentral:rRNA from 2 species